UUUUUUUUUUUUUUUUUAACUUUAAGAAAAUGACUCAAGGGGUAGUUAUAGAUAUUUGGCCUGAUUUUAAUAGGCGAAGGGAAUGAGCUCCAGAGGUCAAUAAACCCCUCCAAAAUGAUGAAUGAUUGAGUACCUGUGAUGAUGAUAGUGAUUACCGGAGCAAUUAAACAGUUUGAUUAAAUGAGCCAUCAUAACAAUGAUGUCUGCGGGAAAUCAGCCCUCACGUAUAAAGAAAGAUAGUGUGGAGAGCUGACAAACGCCAGUGGGCAUUCCUGCAUGUUCCGCUAGCGCCGAGCCCUGCAGAGCAAGGCUGUAUUUACAAAUAUGAGAGGAAUACGGAGAAAAGUCCCUCUCCUACUUAGAGCCAGAGUUGCACCCUGCUUAAAACCCGCCAGAAGCCGGAGAGCAGACACGGGGUUUUCUUUUUCCUAGAGGAUGUCCUCCAAGAUUAAAGCUAGUCCUAAGAGCAACCGAAUUGCUGUGACUGACUUUCACGGGACUGUAAAGAGAGAUCGGCUCAAAAGUCCAAAGAGAAAUGAGGUGUCCGGUAUGGAAGUGCAUCUCAGUCAACCGCCAGCUCCUUUUGCCGAGGCUGGAAAUGGUUUUAACAGGCGCCUUGCAAAAGCGGAUGGCACAACAGCUGCCUGUAAAACUCCAGAAGAGGAGCGCUCUCAUUUUUACACUGGAGUUCUCGGUCCGGAGAGAACAAUAUACUCCUACCUCUUUUGAAAUGAUCCGGAGACUCUCACAACACACAGGCAAUCACUCGAAGCACGAAUUUCCUUUUUUUUUUUUUUCCCAAGAACUGCUCGGCCCAUUGUUUGAAGUGGGAUUCAGUGCAGAGCCCAAAGAGAAAAGGAAAAAAAAAAAAUCCUGAGAGCCCGGCUUGGUAUUGCACAGAGAGAGAGCUGACAAAAUAUUAUAGCGUGUUUCCUAGAAGUACAUGGUGAGAGCCGGCAGUGUGUUCCCGAAAAGAGGUUGCUUUUUAUUCCCACCACCACCCCUCUCAAGAUUGUGAUCGUCUUUGUAUGUCUUUCUUUUGAUCCCACAAAGAGAAUGCAAUACACAUAUAUGUGUUUGCUCUCCAUACAAGAAAUGCCAUACAAUGGAAUAUGUGGCCGGUUAGUCCUCAUAAUGCUUAGUUUUGCUGUAAUUAAUUGAAAACAGUUAUUAGGUCGUCAUUGGCAAUAGCGUAAAUAAUUGCAGCAGAUUUUUACUUAAAAUUGACCGGUCAUAGAGUGAUAGAUCGAUUCGAGGUAUAAAAAUGAUGUAUCAAAACAUCAAUGUCGAUUAUUUGAAAUAUUGUAGUCGAAUCUUUUUAUUGCUUCAUCGGUUAAGUGUCUGAAAGUGCUGUGUUCCAACAUAUAUUUAUGUUGUCAAUACUGUCAAAACUGUCAGUUUUAUUACAGUGGAUUUGUAAUACAUUUCGGAUUUGCUCAUUUACAUAAAAUGUCCACCUCAGAUACCCCUCCUUUUCUCCAUCUCUGGAAAUCUGUGUCAGUUUAAUGAAAGGAUUCAAGACUCAUACCUGAAGAGGGGGAAAAAAAAGAAAAAGGAAAGGAGAAAAAAAAAAAAAAGGAGGUGUUGCUCCAUUAUGUCCAAUUUUAACAUCCGUUUGGAAAGCUUGGGCUAUUUCUGACUCGCCAAAAGAGGGAAUUCCUCCCCCCUUCCCCCUCCCUCCCCCGGCCCCGCUUAUUUCCCUAGUAGAAUUUAAACACUUUCCUACUCUUACACCUAGAUUAAACCCUCCAGGAGAAUUGGGAAAUUGUACAGGGUUACAGCAAGGAGCCGAAGCACACCUGUGAAUGCCACAACCUUCCCAAAGAGAGCAACAAUCCCCCGAACCAUGCACACACGCACAGGGGUUUGAAUCCUGCUAGAAAGAAGGAGACAAAAGGAGCAAUAAAUACGUGUGUGAUCCUUUCCUAACGGUUUGG
rnacentral:lncRNA from 1 species